GCAAAGCGGUGGCUGUCUGUGGAUUGGCUAGUACUAAAAUAUCCAUUGGGUGGCAGUAAUACUAUCCUCUUUAUGACUUGCAGCAAACCAGAGAAUGCAUUCAAUCAAAUGAACCGAUCUUGUAGAAACACUGGAAUCAUUUAUGCAUUGCAGUUUCUCUUUCUUGUUUUCGCUCCUUCUUCUCUGGGAUAUUUUGAGUGGAUUCUGGCUAUUAAUCAAGAUCUCGUGCUGUUCGCGGUUUGCUUGUCGUUUUCGCUCAGGAUUAGCAUCAUUCAAGAUAAACGCAAAGCUGCUUCCCCCCACCCACUCUCUUUUGAAAAAUCAUUUUUGGGGUCUGCUGAAGAGAGCUAGGACCCAGGAGACACCUUCCCAAACAGCAGGGGUUGUGUGCUUUCACAUAGCAGUACUGUACAAGGAAAACCCCGUCGGAUCUGUUAUUGCGGGAUACUUGUGAAAUACACAUAGGAUUCUUUCUUAUGGCUGCAUCCCGGAUCUGGAAAUUUUACUUGGGGACCAGGAAGAUUUGAAAGGCUACAUGUAUCCAGAAGAUUUGCAAGCAAGACUCCGAUUCUUGUCAUAGAGCUCACAGACUUCUUCACUUAUCGUCCGUUUUCCUUCUUUAAAAAAAAAAAAAAAAAACCAAAAACAAAAAACCAAAAGAACAAAAAACCACACAUUUAAAAUUUUUCUCCUCUUUUUCUGAUCUCUCCUCCUUCAGUCUCUCAUUUUUUAUUCUGCCUAUUCUUUUUUUCGUCCUAGUAUUUUUUCCCUUUCCGUGCUCUGCACCUGGAUUGUAUCGUCACUAAACAAUCGGGCACUUUGAGAACUAACUGGAGACAGUCUUGUAGGGAAGAUCUGUAUGGAAUUAUCUGCUUUUAUGGUGAACUUGGCAUUUGUGAAUGGGUAUCUUGUUCACAAUAUUAAUUGCUAGCCAAAACAAGAAAAAGAACACAGGAGUAAAACGUGGAUUUUUCUGAAUACGCAUUGUGAUGACCAGCAAUUACCUUACCGACUGAUAUCCAGAGGAGAAUAAUUUGGAAGACUGUUGUGGGAACGGCCUUUAAGAGCUGGAAGAUGAAAGCUCCGAUUCCGCAUUUGAUUCUCUUAUAUGCUACUUUCACUCAGAGUCUGAAGGUUGUGACCAAAAGAGGUUCUGCUGAUGGAUGCACUGAUUGGUCUGUUGAUAUCAAGAAAUACCAAGUUUUGGUGGGAGAGCCUGUUAGAAUCAAGUGUGCACUCUUUUACGGUUAUAUCAGAACAAACUACUCCCUUGCCCAAAGUGCUGGACUCAGCUUAAUGUGGUAUAAAAGCUCUGGUCCGGGAGAUUUUGAAGAGCCCAUUGCCUUUGAUGGAAGUAGAAUGAGCAAAGAAGAAGACUCCAUUUGGUUCAGACCAACACUACUACAAGACAGUGGGCUUUAUGCCUGUGUCAUCAGGUAUCUUUUAAUGAAAUUAUUAUUCACUCUAUGAAA